GUCCCCGUCGAUUAGUGGUUAAAUCAUCUCGUUGUGGUCAGUUCAUAACCGAGAAGCCGGAGGUUCGAAUCCUCCCCGGGACA